rnacentral:rRNA from 1 species
AAAUUAGCGUCAUGGACGGAAGUNCUGAACCAGCCAAGUAUNCGUGAAGGAUGACUGCCCUCUGGGUUGUAAACUUCUUUUAUACGGGAAUAACAUGAGGUACGCGUACCUUAUUGCAUGUACCGUUAUGAAUAAGCAUCGGCUAACUCCGUGCCAGCAGCCGCGGUAAUACGGAGGAUGCGAGCGUUAUCCGGAUUUAUUGGGUUUAAAGGGAGCGUAGGUGGGAUAUUAAGUCAGCUGUGAAAGUUUGGGGCUCAACCUUAAAAUUGCAGUUGAUACUGGUUUCCUUGAGUACGGUACAGGUGGGCGGAAUUCGUGGUGUAGCGGUGAAAUGCUUAGAUAUCACGAAGAACUCCGAUCGCGAAGGCAGCUCACCGGGCCGGAACUGACACUGAUGCUCGAAAGUGCGGGUAUCAAACAGGAUUAGAUACCCUGGUAGUCCGCACAGUAAACGAUGAAUACUCGCUGUUUGCGAUAUAGGGCAAGCGGCCAAGCGAAAGCGUUAAGUAUUCCACCUGGGGAGUACGCCGGCAACGGUGAAACUCAAAGGAAUUGACGGGGGCCCGCACAAGCGGA